UUAUGUUUUGAGAAUCAGCUUUUUGUCACCUAUCAUUUCAUUAAUUAUUAGUAUAUUGCAUGGAAUAAGAACUUUUGACUGUUAAAUGGCCGGGAUCUCAGUUAUGAAUGACACAGACGCAGUUUUUGCCCUUUUGGGACAGAGGAUCAAGCAGAUUUAAAUUCUAACUAGUCUUUUUAAUUUUGCUUCAGGAAAAGAUAGAAGCAAUUAACCAAGCCAUAGCCAAUGAAUAUGAAGUCCGGAGAAAGCUGCUAAUAAAACGUUUGGAUGUCACUGUACAAUCCUUUGGCUGGUCUGACAGAGCUAAGAGCCAGACAGAAAAAUUAGCCAAGGUUUACCAGCCGAAGCGUUCGGUCUUAUCCCCUAAAAGUACUAUUUCUGUUGCCCAUCUUUUGGCUGCAAGGCAGGACUUGUCAAAGAUUUUAAGGACAAGCAGCGGCUCUAUAAGAGAAAAGACUGCCUGUGCCAUCAAUAAGGUGUUGAUGGGCAGGGUGCCUGACAGAGGUGGUAGACCCAAUGAAAUCGAACCUCCACCCCCAGAGAUGCCCCCGUGGCAGAAGAGGCAAGAUGGCCCCCAGCAGCAAACAGGAGGCCGAGGAGGAGGGAGAGGUGGCUAUGAACAUUCCUCAUACGGAGGACGAGGAGGUCAUGAACAAGGAGGCGGGAGAGGUGGACGUGGUGGCUAUGACCAUGGUGGCCGAGGGGGAGGAAGAGGAAAUAAGCAUCAAGGAGGCUGGACAGAUGGAGGGAGUGGCGGAGGAGGUGGCUACCAAGAUGGUGGUUAUCGAGAUUCAGGUUUCCAGCCAGGUGGCUAUCAUGGUGGCCACAGCAGUGGUGGCUAUCAAGGCGGAGGUUAUGGUGGCUUCCAAACAUCUUCUUCAUAUACAGGAAGUGGAUACCAGGGUGGUGGCUACCAGCAGGACAAUAGAUACCAAGAUGGCGGGCACCAUGGUGAUCGUGGCGGUGGUCGUGGAGGGCGAGGUGGUCGUGGAGGCCGAGGUGGUCGCGCAGGCCAGGGAGGAGGCUGGGGAG
rnacentral:sRNA from 1 species